rnacentral:rRNA from 1 species
GGGCCCGCACAAGCGGUGGAGUAUGUGGUUUAAUUCGAUGCAACGCGAAGAACCUUACCAGGGUUUGACAUCCUGCGAAUCUCUUGGAAACGAGAGAGUGCCUUCGGGAGCGCAGUGACAGGUGGUGCAUGGCUGUCGUCAGCUCGUGUCGUGAGAUGUUGGGUUAAGUCCCGCAACGAGCGCAACCCACGUCUUUAGUUGCCAGCAUUUAGUUGGGCACUCUAGAGAGACUGCCGGUGAUAAACCGGAGGAAGGUGUGGAUGACGUCAAAUCAUCACGGCCCUUACGUCCUGGGCUACACACGUGCUACAAUGGCCGGUACAGAGGGCAGCCACACCGCAAGGUGGAGCG